GGAAGGAUCAUUAAAACGUAUCCAAACGUAAAAAACCCCCCCGUGAACUUUCAACCCUGCUCCUUCGCCUCUGUGAGUCAGCAAUCCCUGGUAAAUCAUUUGGAGAAAAGCUUUUGAUUCAGGGACUACUGAGAUUCCUACCUCGCGUCGUAUAGAUUGGUAUCCAACCCAACGUAGCGGUAGAUUCAUUGCGACUUGUUUUCCCCAAGCAGUUAUUGAAUGAAAGUGUCAUUAAUUGUGCAAGGAGAACGCUUUACGGCUGCUGGAGUCCGAACACCGGACGGCGGACAAGUCCCACGCCUUAACCGGCCCUAAUAACCCCGUUUGUUCCGCGGCGUAGCUUGGACUAACGUUCAAGAAAGCGCACCCCAAAAACUUAUACGACUGUUAACAAUGGAUAUCUUGGUUCUCGCAACGAUGAAGAACGCAGCGAAAUGCGAUACGUAAUGCGAAUUGCAGAAUUCAGUGAAUCAUCGAAUCUUUGAACGCAAAUUGCGCUCUCGGGUUACCCCAAGAGCACACCUCUCUGAGUGUCGGUUUAACCAAAUGUCACCAAUUUAUUGGUGUACGACUUUUCUGAGGGUAAGGAGUCUCGGCUUCUUUCCCUUUAAAUCUCAGCCGCACGACUGUGUGUGUUCGUGGCAAGUUGGUUUCGCUUAAUUGUGAAUUCAAUCCACCAACCCUACGUUGUGUAGCCCAAUGAAACAACUAAACACUGUCAGUGAAGUUAGGAACGCGUUUUCUGAAGGUCCGUGGUAUGCCCAGGCAUGUGAACAAAGUGUUCUGAAAGUGUUCUCUUUGGUUGCAGCCGAAGCGCAUCAACCUGGUCGGAGUUUUACUUUUGUAGCAACCAGAAGGAAAAACAAAUGCAAUGGUCACGGAGUUGUGAAAGUGUUCUCCUGGAUCAAUGCAGAAGUUUCCCGUUUGAUCGUUAUGAACGUUCGACACUGAACGGGAAGGUAUGCUGAAGCAAAUGCAUUAAGUAACCCAGUCAUCAGUUAGCGGUGGUCUUAAUGGAACCGCUUUGUGAAAAUUAUGAAUUAGACCUCAGAUGAAGUGGGAAGACCCCCUGAAUUUAAGCAUAUUAUUAAGGGGAGGAAAAGAAACUAACAAGGAUUCCCCUAGUAAUCUGCUGGUUCCCUC
rnacentral:misc_RNA from 1 species